rnacentral:rRNA from 1 species
GUGACCUCAAAUCAGGUAGGACUACCCGCUGAACUUAAGCAUAUCAAUAAGCGGAGGAAAAGAAACUAACAAGGAUUCCCCUAGUAACUGCGAGUGAAGCGGGAAAAGCUCAAAUUUAAAAUCUGGCAGUCUUUUGGCUGUCCGAGUUGUAAUCUAGAGAAGUGUUAUCCGCGCUGGACGU